UAAAUUGCUAAGAAGGAAAGUAGUAGGUAGCUAUAGUCUGUAGAGAGCCAUCGUAAGGUGAAAGAUGGCGGCUGAAUGACCGAACUCGUUCUGGAGCUGUUUUUGUGAAAGCAAAAACCGGAUCGCUUCCGUUAAAGGCUUUGAGUGGAUUGCCUAGGCAAUCAAAUAGAGUGGUAUCGCGGGUUCUUCGUCUCUAAC
rnacentral:ncRNA from 1 species